AAGCAAAGACUUCUCAAAAACAACAUAUAAAAAAAGCAUGUUAACAAUGGUACAGAUUCAACACGAAUGUAUGGAGAUCAUACAACAAUGUCAAACUAUGAGUAUGAAUUCGUGUCAUCGCAAUGGAAAGAUUAUCACCGCACCCACUAGGCAGAUGUCCACUUGGCAUAUGGCAAGCAACACGUUCAAACGUAGCUGAGAAUUGUCCCAUCCAGGGAAAUCUUUUGGAUAAUCCAUCUCAGCCCAGUAACUGAGGUCACUAUUUGCAGUUAUAACUUGAAGAGACAUCUUUACCACUUAUUCCCUGCGAUAAAUGACUCAAUUGGUUUAGAAUACUCGAGUACUUACGCUUUGUGCAAUUAGAUAUGGAAAUAACAUAUUUGAAGACAUGGAUAUUCUUCGCAAUGAUUGCACGCCAAUUCAUAGAUGGGGCAGAAGAAUACUUUAUCGCGCCGACAGCUUGGUAUUAUAUCAAAUCUCUGGGACAGAAUAUGCUUUUCCUCGGACUUGUCAUGUCUGCUUUCCAAUUUAGUGCACUCCCGUCCAGCCCUAUCCUCGGCGAAUUGGCGGAUAGAGUUGGAUACAGUAGAUGUAUUAUUAUCGUCAGCCUGUUUUUGAAGUUUGUUGCAUAUAUAUUGUAUGCAAUUCCAGUCUCGGCAUAUUUUCCACUGGUUGGGAGAAUUUUGGGUGGGCUCACUGAUGGUUCUAUCGGGGUCGUCUAUGGGCAAAUAAUAUUGUACACACCACAGAAACAUCGAACACAAGUCUUCUUAAUAUUGGAUGGAGUGUUUACCGUGGGCACCCUCUUGGGCCCUGCAGUCAGCGUGUUUUUGAUAUUUAAUGUGAAUAUCUUCGGCUGGAAGAUCGACGCUGGUAACUCCCCUGGAAUUGUUCUUGCACUUUUAUGGUUGGGAAUGUUUGUAGUCUCUCUGUGGUUUCCCAGUGAGUUUGGAUCAACGAAGGUUACAGUUGAUAAUAGUGAUCAAGACCAACAUAUGGUUGUUGACGGCCAUGAUAAUGAUGGUGGUGGUGGUGAUGGGUUUGAUAGAG
rnacentral:misc_RNA from 1 species